UUCUCUUCAAAUGCAUUAGCUCACGCUUCAAGAAAAUCAUCACCAAGGGUGAUAAAUGAGGCUGUUCAGGCUGCUGCUGCUGCAUUGAAGGGAUCUGACCACCGCCGGAAAACAAAUGUGAGUGCAAGGCUGGAUGCUCAGCAGAAGAGGUUGAACCUUCCAAUUCUUUCUACCACCACGAUUGGAUCCUUCCCUCAGACUCAGGAUCU
rnacentral:misc_RNA from 1 species